GAUGAACGCUGGCGGCGUGCCUAAUACAUGCAAGUCGAGCGAACGGACGAGAAGCUUGCUUCUCUGAUGUUAGCGGCGGACGGGUGAGUAACACGUGGAUAACCUACCUAUAAGCCUGGGAUAACUUCGGGAAACCGGAGCUAAUACCGGAUAAUAUUUUGAACCGCAUGGUUCAACAGUGAAAGACGGUCUUGCUGUCACUUAUAGAUGGAUCCGCGCUGCAUUAGCUAGUUGGUAAGGUAACGGCUUACCAAGGCAACGAUGCAUAGCCGACCUGAGAGGGUGAUCGGCCACACGGGAACUGAGACACGGUCCAGACUCCUACGGGAGGCAGCAGUAGGGAAUCUUCCGCAAUGGGCGAAAGCCUGACGGAGCAACGCCGCGGGAGUGAUGAAGGUCUUCUGAUCGUAAAACUCUGUUAUUAGGGAAGAACAUAUGUGUAAGUAACUGUGCACAUCUUGACGGUACCUAAUCAGAAAGCCACGGCUAACUACGUG
rnacentral:rRNA from 1 species